rnacentral:rRNA from 1 species
GAGGAAUAUUGCGCAAUGGGCGAAAGCCUGACGCAGCCAUCCCGCGUGCAGGAUUGACGGCCCUAAGGGUUGUAAACUGCUUUUCUGCAAGAAGAAAGAUGUCUACGUGUAGAUGUUUGCCGGUAUUGCGGGAAAAAGCAUCGGCUAACUCCGUGCCAGCAGCCGCGGUAAUACGGAGGAUGCGAGCGUUAUCCGGAAUCACUGGGUUUAAAGGGUGCGCAGGCUGAAUAGUAAGUCAGAGGUGAAAAUCCAUAGCUUAACUGUGGACUUGCCUUUGAUACUGUUAUUCUUGAGUGCAGUUGAAGUGGGCGGAAUAUAACAUGUAGCGGUGAAACGCAUAGAUAUGCUAUAGAACACCGAUUGCGAAGGCAGCUCGCUAAGCUGUAACUGACGCUGAGGCACGAAAGCUUGGAUAGCAAACAGGAUUAGAUACCCUGGUAGUCCAGGCUGUAAACGAUGAACAUUCGCUGUUGGCAAUAUAUCGUCAGCGGCUGAGCGAAAGCGUUAAGUGUUCCACCUGGGAAGUACGAUCGCAAGGUUG